rnacentral:rRNA from 1 species
GACGAACGCUGGCGGCGUGCUUAACACAUGCAAGUCGAACGGAAAGGCCCUGCUUUUGUGGGGUGCUCGAGUGGCGAACGGGUGAGUAACACGUGAGUAACCUGCCCUUGACUUUGGGAUAACUUCAGGAAACUGGGGCUAAUACCGGAUAGGAGCUCCUGCUGCAUGGUGGGGGUUGGAAAGUUUCGGCGGUUGGGGAUGGACUCGCGGCUUAUCAGCUUGUUGGUGGGGUAGUGGCUUACCAAGGCUUUGACGGGUAGCCGGCCUGAGAGGGUGACCGGCCACAUUGGGACUGCGAUACGGCCCAAACUCCUACGGGAGGCAGCAGUGGGGAAUAUUGCACAAUGGGCGGAAGCCUGAUGCAGCAACGCCGCGUGCGGGAUGACGGCCUUCGGGUUGUAAACCGCUUUCGCCUGUGACGAAGCGUGAGUGACGGUAAUGGGUAAAGAAGCACCGGCUAACUACGUG